rnacentral:rRNA from 1 species
AUGGCGCCCAAGCGGCCACUCGACGCCACCCUGCCGGAGGAGGAGGCUGCGCUGUGGUUGUCCCGGAUGAAGCGGUCCCGGAGGUUUCGGCUAAAGCGGACGGUGCUCGUCGUGAUGUGGCUCAUGUGCGGGCCCAGCGGGACGGCUAGGAAAAGAAGAGAAAGAAAACGGCCGUGGCGCUGGAUCUCUCAGGUGGUUUGUCCUUGGAUGAGCAUGCUCGACGUAAGUUCGGAGCCACCGUUUGUGCCACUCGAUUAUUUACGAGAAAUUACAGAUGAUUUCUCCGAGGAGCGGAAGCUUGGUAGCGGUUCGUUUGGAGAGGUUUACUUGGGAGUGGAUCAAGAUGGGCAAAAGAUUGCUGUGAAGAGAAUCUAUCAGAUGGCAGGUGUUGAUGAUGGGCAAUUUCAGAAUGAGUUUACAAACCUUGCAAGGCUCAAGCACCGGAAUAUUGUGCGGUUAGUUGGCUAUUGCAACCAUAUUCAGGAAGUACCAGCAAUGUACGAAGGAAAAUUUGUUCUUGCUGAAAAGAUACAUAGGGCGCUCUGCUUAGAGUAUAUGUCUAAUGGAAGCCUUCAAAAGUAUAUUUCUGGCUACGGAAUAAUUAAGGGGAUUUGCCAGGGUUUGAAAUGCCUCCACAUUGAAUUAAAGCCACCUAUUUAUCAUUUGGAUUUAAAGCCAGCCAACGUAUUGCUGGAUGAGAACAUGGUUCCCAGACUUGCAGAUUUUGGGAUAUCAAGGCUCUUUGGAGAUGAACGAACACGAGCUACAAAAAGUAUUUUAGGAACGCAAGGGUACUUACCGCCGGAAUACAUACACAACAAUUUGAUCUCAAGUAAGUUUGACAUAUUCAGCCUUGGUGUUGUAAUCAUAAAGAUAAUGUCAGGACGGGCGGGCUACUCCAAAAUUACUGACAUGUCUCCCCAGGAGUUCACUAAUCUUGUACAGGAAAAAUGGACAAACAGGCUACAUGAAACAUCCAGUCUGAUGAAGGCAUAUUCCAAGCAAGAUAUUGUCAAUAGACUGAAUGAGACAGAAACUGAGUGUACCUAUGCGGCAAGAAAGGACGGGUCGUUGAUUUACCAGGUUUUGGACUGGCUAAGGGACAGUUUGGAUUUCGCCUGGAGCUGGACCCAUGAGGCCCAUGUUUAUGGAGUUAUUCCAGAGGAUGACUCAAUCACAUUCAUGGGUGCAAGUCUAACUGGCCAACAGAAUGGACACUUCAGCUUCUCGACAACUGAUGCACCUGGUACUUCUUAUCCUGUAGCAGAUGUUGCUGGGACUACCCCAGGUGGAGUUAGUCUGGGAAUCUCUUCACCUAACCAUGUUCCGGUUGACAUGUCCAGUGAGCCUCCUUCAGAUGAAUUUGAUGAGACAGACCAGGGCAUUGCACCAGCUAACAACGGAGAAGUGCCAAAUUCCAACAACCAACCUCAUGGUUAUGAACAUGAUGGUGGCAAGUGGCAACCAGUGAUUAAGCUUGAAGCCACUACAACAUGCUUUCCUCUACCACACUAA